AUUGAACGCUGGCGGCAUGCCUACACAUGCAAGUCGAACGGCAGCACGGGGCAACCUGGUGGCGAGUGGCGAACGGGUGAGUAAUGCAUCGGAACGUACCUUUCAGUGGGGGAUAACGUAGCGAAAGUUACGCUAAUACCGCAUAUUCUGUGAGCAGGAAAGCAGGGGAUCGCAAGACCUUGCGCUGAUUGAGCGGCCGAUGUCAGAUUAGCUAGUUGGUGAGGUAAAGGCUCACCAAGGCGACGAUCUGUAGCGGGUCUGAGAGGAUGAUCCGCCACACUGGAACUGAGACACGGUCCAGACUCCUACGGGAGGCAGCAGUGGGGAAUUUUGGACAAUGGGGGCAACCCUGAUCCAGCCAUGCCGCGUGAGUGAAGAAGGCCUUCGGGUUGUAAAGCUCUUUCGGCCGGGAAGAAAUCGCACGGGCUAAUGCCCUGUGUGGAUGACGGUACCGGAAUAAGAAGCACCGGCUAACUACGUGCCAGCCGCCGCGGUAAUAC
rnacentral:rRNA from 1 species